rnacentral:rRNA from 1 species
UUUCUUGGAGAGUUUGAUCCUGGCUCAGGACGAACGCUGGCGGCGUGCCUAAUACAUGCAAGUCGAGC